GAGCCUACGGGAGGCAGCAGUGAGGAAUAUUGGUCAAUGGGCGGGAGCCUGAACCAGCCAAGUCGCGUGAGGGAAGACGGUCCUACGGAUUGUAAACCUCUUUUGCCGGGGAGCAACGGGGUCCUUGCGAGGUCCCAAUGAGAGUACCCGGAGAAAAAGCAUCGGCUACCUCCGUGCCAGCAGCCGCGGUAAUACGGAGGAUGCGAGCGUUAUCCGGAUUUAUUGGGAUUAAAGGGUGCGUAGGCGG
rnacentral:rRNA from 1 species